CGGAGGGGGGGCCGCGUGCGAGGGCGGGCGAGCGUUCCCGGGCCGGUGGCCGGGCCAGAUUAGGGGCCCGGCGUGACUCGGCAUUCGGGAGCCGGGCCGCGGGCGCGUUGGUCCUGCGCCGCCGGCAGCAGCGGGCUCGUGCCCAGGGCAGCGCCGUCGCCGGAGCCACCGCGGGCGGCCGCCGCAGAGCUCGGGGCCGUGGGGGUUAUGGUGCCCCCGGGCUGACUGCUGGGACAGAGCGAGGCAGAGGCAGGGGCCGAGCGCGGAGCCAUGGAGAGGCCAGGCCAGGAGGCCUACGAGGACGUGAUGAGGAAAAACCUGGACCCCGAGGGCUACGAAGACCCCGGUGUGCACAGCUCGCGCAUCUCGCUGGGGGAGAUGAGCAGUGAGUGGCUUCGUUGGCUGGCAGAGGGGUGC
rnacentral:lncRNA from 1 species